rnacentral:rRNA from 1 species
GACGAACGCUGGCGGCGUGCUUAACACAUGCCAGUCGAACGGAAAGGCCUGCUUUCCCUUGUGGAUUGCGGGUACUCGAGUGGCGAACGGGUGAGUAACACGUGAGUGAUCUGCCCCCAACUUGGGUAUAAGCCUGGGAAACUGGGUCUAAUUCCCGAUAGGACUGCAGGGUGGUGCCUGUGGUGGAAAACGAUUUUCUAGUGGUUGGGGAUGAGCUCGCGGCCUAUCAGCUUGUUGGUGGGGUAAUGGCCUACCAAGGCGGCGACGGGUAGCCGGCCUGAGAGGGUGAACGGCCACAUUGGGACUGAGAUACGGCCCAGACUCCUACGGGAGGCAGCAGUGGGGAAUAUUGCACAAUGGGCGGAAGCCUGAUGCAGCGACGCCGCGUGGGGGAUGACGGCCUUCGGGUUGUAAACUCCUUUCGACCGCGAGGAAGCCACCUGGUUGGAAGGGUGGUGACGGUAGUGGUAGAAGAAGCACCGGCUAACUACGUG